AUACGUAGGUGACAAGCGUUAUCCGGAUUUACUGGGCGUAAAGGGCGUGUAGGCGGUCUUGCAAGUCAGAAGUGAAAUUCCUGAGCUCAACUCGGGCGCUGCUUCUGAAACUGCAGGACUUGAGUGCUGGAGGGGAUAGCGGAAUUCCUAGUGGAGCGGUAAAAUGCGCAGAUAUUAGGAAGAACACCGGUGGCGAAGGCGGCUAUCUGGACAGUACGUGACGCUGAGGCGCGAAAGCGUGGGGAGCAAACAGGAUUAGAUGCCCGGGUAGUCCACGUCGUAAACGAUGAAUACUAGGUGUAGGGGGUAUCGACUCCCUCUGUGCCGCAGUUAACACAAUAAGUAUUCCGCCUGGGGAGUACGGCCGCAAGGUUGAAACUCAAAGGAAUUGACGGG
rnacentral:rRNA from 1 species